AUGCAAACUUUUAAUCACACAUAAUUUAAUUGAUGAAUAUACGUGAGUCACCAGUAACAUGUGGGUGGGGCUCCAUGUUCUCUGACGUCACCCUCAAGUGUCACACACAGGGCCGUCUGCUGAGGUCUUACUCCCUACUACAGAGUGUUUACGAGUGAACCAUGUCUAACUACCAGGACGACAACAGCAUACCUCUAGUGGAUGAUGACCCAUCAGUGGUUCUGGAUGAUGAUAGGACUGGAGCUUCUGAAAUAUCUGACUCUACUCGAGGCCAGAGUUUGGAGUCUAUUCCAUCAGCUUACACAAAUGGCUCCAACAGUCCUCUGCAUAAUAGUUUAGAGCCAGACAUGUCACCUGAUGAACAAGAGGAAAAGGCUCGCCUCAUUGCACAGGUGCUGGAGCUGCAAAACACACUAGAUGAUCUCUCUCAACGAGUGGAUAGUGUUAAAGAAGAAAAUCUUAAGCUGCGUUCAGAGAACCAGGUUCUUGGUCAGUAUAUUGAGAAUCUUAUGUCUGCUUCAUCAGUGUUUCAGUCUACAUCACCUAAAACUAAGAAAAAUAAACAGUGGCGCCAGUUUGAAGCUUGAGAUGUAUGAGAAGUUUUAACAGGGCCACGUAACCUUCUUACUGCUAAGGUCAAUGAUCUGAACGCUUGCUUUAGCUCCCAGCCAUGCUCGUUUGGCACUGCUGUUCAACUGUCAACCUACAACAAAAUGCCACUAUUGUACUCUUAUUGCUAUAAAUUUAGUGUGAAUAUUUAAAUUACAUGGUAGCUUUUAUUUUAUGCUAUAAUACAAUGUGUUGACUUUAAAUGUGUUUUUUGUAUUGGUCUGUACAGUAUGCAGAGUUCAUAUAUUUUGUUUGAUUUCAGGAAGAUGAGAGCAAAUUGAAAUUUGAAUCUCUAGCAUUAAAUCAUUGAGAAAAUUGUCUUACCCUUGCGACUGCUUUUAUUAGGGAAAGGUGUACACGCUGUGUCUCCUGUUGUCUCAGUAGGGUUGUCAAAAUCCUUCGUCCGUUGUGUACAGUAUUAUCUCGCACAAAAUACUUUUUGCAGCGAGUGUACUUGCAACAGAGCCCUUUAAUUGGAUAAUGGUUGUGAAGCAGCUUGUUUACAAUAGUUUCAAAGGUAGAGUCAAAACUGUCAUUUAGAACAUCCCAUUCCAUACCCAUCUAAGAUGCAACAUUCAGACUAAUAAAAUGUUAAUUUGUAUAGCUAAAGUGUCUUGUCUUAUUGUGAUGGAUAUUGAGUUUAUUAUUCUUCUCAAGGUAAAUGAAAAGUAGUUGUGUUUACCGGUAAUCCUAUCAUAUUCUUAUUUGUAUUGUAUGUUCAGUAGUGCUGUAUUACUAUAUUUUCCCACUCAAACCUGUAAAGGUGGCUUAAGCCUCCAAAAUGUUAAAUAUAAAAGUAAUAUAA